rnacentral:rRNA from 1 species
GACGAACGCUGGCGGCGUGCUUAACACAUGCAAGUCGAGCGAUGAAAUCCCUUCGGGGAUGGAUUAGCGGCGGACGGGUGAGUAACACGUGGGUAACCUGCCUCAAAGAGGGGGAUAGCCUCCCGAAAGGGAGAUUAAUACCGCAUAACAUUAGUUUUCCGCAUGGAGGACUAAUUAAAGGAGUAAUCCGCUUUGAGAUGGACUCGCGGGGCAUUAGCUAGUUGGUGAGGUAACGGCUCACCAAGGCAACGAUGCGUAGCCGACCUGAGAGGGUGAUCGGCCACAUUGGAACUGAGACACGGUCCAGACUCCUACGGGAGGCAGCAGUGGGGAAUAUUGCACAAUGGGCGAAAGCCUGAUGCAGCAACGCCGCGUGAGUGAUGAAGGCCUUCGGGUUGUAAAGCUCUGUCUUUUGGGACGAUAAUGACAGUACCAAAGGAGGAAGCCACGGCUAACUACGUGCCAGCCGCCGCGGUAACAC